AUGCAGUGGGCCCUAGCGGUGCUUCUAGCUUUCCUGUCUCCUGCCAGUCAGAAAUCUUCCAACUUGGAAGGGAGAACGAAGUCAGUCAUCAGGCAGACUGGGUCAUCUGCUGAAAUCACUUGUGAUCUUGCUGAAGGAAGUACCGGCUACAUCCACUGGUACCUACACCAGGAGGGGAAGGCCCCACAGCGUCUUCUGUACUAUGACUCCUACACCUCCAGCGUUGUGUUGGAAUCAGGAAUCAGCCCAGGGAAGUAUGAUACUUACGGAAGCACAAGGAAGAACUUGAGAAUGAUACUGCGAAAUCUUAUUGAAAAUGACUCUGGAGUCUAUUACUGUGCCACCUGGGAUGGG